AGGGGAGCAGCGCGUCCGUUCGGGAUGCAGCGCGGCCGCGGCAGCAUCAGCACCGCCCGCUCCGGGAGGAUGGAGCCCACGAACGCGGUGUAAUCUGGACACAGGGCUUGCAUUUGCAUUAUGGAGCUGGGAGAGUGAGGUAUACAUGCUGCCAAGGACUCAAAGCUCAGCAUCAUUGAUUUUAGUGUGAAGAAACCUCAAUAAAUCCCCUCCCCCCCUUAUAUCGACUUCUUCC
rnacentral:lncRNA from 1 species